GAAAAGAAAAGAAAAGAAAAGAAAGAAAGGAUGAAACGAAACAGAGAGCAGGGGAAAGAAAGAAGGAAAAAGGGAAAAAUUGGGAUUUCAAGGCUUGAAAGUUAAAUAGGUUAAGUUAAGGCUAGAUUGUUGAAUCAGCAUCCCAGGCCGAUCCCGAAUUCAAUGAGGUAAAGUAUGUUGAGUAUUGAUAAUGGCAUGUACCUAGGAUGUUUAAUGAGAGUCAUUUAGGUUGUAAAAGUAUUGAUGAAAUAGGUGAAUUAUGGUUGGCAACGGUAUAUAGUAUGAAUUUUGAAAUUUAUUAAAAAAAUCGUAAUGAUUCUAAA